rnacentral:rRNA from 1 species
CCUACGGGUGGCAGCAGUGGGGAAUAUUGGGCAAUGGGCGCAAGCCUGACCCAGCAACGCCGCGUGAAGGAAGAAGGCUUUCGGGGUGUAAACUUCUUUUCUGAAGGACGAAGAAAGUGACGGUACCUCAGGAAUAAGCCACGGCUAACUACGUGCCAGCAGCCGCGGUAAUACGUAGGUGGCAAGCGUUAUCCGGAUUUAUGGGGUGUAAAGGGCGGGUAGGAGGGAAAGCAAGUCAGAUGUGAAAACUCAGGGCUCAACCCGGAGCCUGAAUUUGAAACUGGUUUUCUUGAGUGCUGGAGAGGCAAUCGGAAUUCCGGGUGUAGAGGUGAAAUGCGUAGAUAUAAGGAGGAACACCAGUGGCGAAGGCGGACUGCUGGACAGUAACUGACGCUGAGGCGCGAAAGCGUGGGGAGCAAACAGGAUUAGAUACCCCAGUAGUC